rnacentral:rRNA from 1 species
AUUGAACGCUGGCGGCAGGCCUAACACAUGCAAGUCGAACGAGUGGCGGACGGGUGAGUAAUGUCUGGGAAACUGCCUGAUGGAGGGGGAUAACUACUGGAAACGGUAGCUAAUACCGCAUCCCAUCGGAUGUGCCCAGAUGGGAUUAGCUAGUAGGUGGGGUAAAGGCUCACCUAGGCGACGAUCCCUAGCUGGUCGGAGAGGAUGACCAGCAACACGGGAACGGAGCAACGGUCCAGACGCCGAGGGUGGGCAGGAGUGGGGAAGAUUGCACAAUGGGCGCAAGCCUGAUGCAGCCAUGCCGGGUGUAUGAAGAAGGCCUUCGGGUUGUAAAGUACUUUCAGCGGGGAGGCGUUACCCGCAGAAGAAGCACCGGCUAACUCCGUGCCAGCAGCCGCGGUAAUA